GUGCUUGCUUCAGCAGCACAUAACUAAAACUGGAGCAAUACAGAGAUACAGGUAUGGCCCCUGAACAGGGAUGACGUGUAAAUUCAUGAAGUGUUCCAUACAACC
ensembl:snRNA U6 U6 spliceosomal RNA